GAUGAACGCUGGCGGCGUGCCUAAUACAUGCAAGUCGAACGCUGGAAAUCUAGCUUGCUAGAUUGAAGGAGUGGCGAACGGGUGAGUAAUACAUAAGCAACCUACCCACGAAGACUGGGAUAAUCUCUGGAAACGGGGACUAAUACCGGAUAGGUAAUCGGAAGGCAUCUUCUGAUUAUUAAAGGUUAAAAACACUGGUGGAUGGGCUUAUGGCGCAUUAGUUAGUUGGUGAGGUAACGGCCCACCAAGACAAUGAUGCGUAGCCGGCCUGAGAGGGUGAACGGCCACAUUGGGACUGAGACACGGCCCAGACGCCUACGGGAGGCAGCAGUAGGGAAUUUUCGGCGAGGGGGGAAACCCUGACCGAGCAACGCCGCGUGAGUGAUGACGGCCUUCGGGUUGUAAAGCUCUGUUGUAAGGGAAGAACGGUAGAUAGAGAAUAUCUAAAUGACGGUACCUUACCAGAAAGCCACGGCUAACUACGU
rnacentral:rRNA from 1 species